CCUCUGAAGAAUUUUAUUUCCUUCUCUCAUCAUGACAUGGAAGUUCUCACUGAUUACCAUAGUCCUGGUCCUGGAUCUGGUCUUCCUCUGCGUGGCUGGAGCAGUCAGGCAGGCAAAGACUCAUAACUGAUGGGAAUAAUGGAGUUCAACGUGCUGCUAUUAGCAUUGUUUUUAAGAAAAGUUGAAGCCACCAAGGUCUUGAGACUAUGAAAGAGAGAGAACCAAUUUCUGGAGAAACUGUAACAAGGGAAUAUUGAAAGGAAGUGUGUGGAGGAGAGCUGCUCCUUUGAAGAAACCCAGGAGGUUUUUGAGUCCCAAGAGAAAACGCUGGAAUUCUGAUUCUACUACCAAGAGCAACGCCAAUGCUGGUACCAAAAUGGCGGCUGCUGGCAAUAUUGCCAGGACCAGAAGUCUGGCCAUGCAAAAUGCUCCUGUGCUGAGGGCUAUACCACAGCAGAGGAUGGGAAGAAGUGUGAGGAGGAAGCUUUGUUUCCUUGUGGGCUCAUCAAAGUGCCCAGUACAAGGGAUCUUCAUGAAGAAAUUUUCCAGGGCAACAUGACACAUGAGAAUGUGUCUUGGAAUGUAACUGGAGAAGGAACUUCUUGGAGCAACGAGACAAGUGAGGACCAGGAGAAAAAGGUCCUGAUCUGGAAUGAACAAAAUCAUGACUUCUGUGGUGGAAGCUUAAUCAGCAAUCGCUGGGUGGUCACUGCUGCCCACUGCCUGGAGAUCAUGAAGCCACACUAUGUGACUCUAGAUCAAAGAGACCGCUGAAGCUGCGAUCAAUGCUAGUAAUGUAACUCCAGUUACAAACUGAAAAAUGAUCUGACCAAGGCAUAGUGAUCAAUUCACCUGAGGACAGUGUGGAAAACUGAGGACACCUAAUACCAAGUGAAACUUUGUGCUCCCCAGUGUUGUUUUUUGUUAAAUAAAAAUACCCCCCCCAAAAAUUAAAAAAAUUAAAAAACAAACAAAUCCACAAAUAUAUUUAUUAUAAUUUGAUAAUAGUUUUAUUUAAAAGUGCCAUUAUAGUAGAAAUAUAUAUAGAAGAAUUGUACAUAUUAAACAUAUAUUGGAUUACUUGCCAUUUAGAGGAGGGGAUGGGGGGAAGAAAGGGAAAAAAAAUUGGAACAAAAGAAUUUGCAACAAUGAGUGUCAAAAACUAUCUUUAUGCAUGUGUUUUGAAAAUAAAAAAGCUUUAAUAAUUUUUUAAAAAGUGCUACUACAUACCAUUAUCUGCAAACAACUUAAUUCCCAAUCCAUAAUCAACUGACAUAAAAAAAAUCUGGAGGGAAUUAGGUCACACCUUCAUAAACUGUCUUCUCUAAAACAAGCUAAGUAAGUAAGCAACUGAGUAAGUGCCUCUAAAUUCCCUUUGGGAGCAGUGGAUCUGCCAGGAAUUAUGUAAAAUUGAAUUGAAUUACACUUGAAUAUCUACAGGGUUUUCAUGGUUUCUAUAUCUUAAAUCUGAGUAAAUAAUAAAUCUUUACUAAAAGUUCAAGUUUUUGAACAAGUUUCAGUGUUCAAGCAAGCGCGACAGCUUUGAUGUGUGUGUAUGUAUAUAUACACAUAUAUUCAUACAUACACAUGCAUAUGCAUACAUACAUGAACACAAAAUAUAGGUGUAUAAAUACUCAUAGGCACAAUGCAUAUAAAAAUAUAUAAAAAUAUGCAUACACACUAUAUACUGAUGCACAAUAGAAAAUGCACAUAAAUGUACGCACAUAUACAUGUGUACAUAUACACCCAAAAUGUACACAUACAGGAUCAGCUAGGUGAAGCAACAGAUAAAACACUUCUGGUGUCAGAAGGACUUAGUCCAAAUUUGAUGUCAGAUACUCUGGCUGUGUUACCCUGGGCACACAACCCCAGUUGCCUCCCUUGCCCCAAAUGUAUACAUAUACUAAUGUGGAUGUAUACUCUGUGUGUGUUAUACAUAAUUUGAAAUUUGCAGUUUGACAAAGAAUCUUCUUUUCCUGUGCUAUUUGUAUUCAGAAAUUUUGUUGUUGUUUGUUAAUUCAUAAUAAAAUAAAUUAAAAUGAGAAAAA